UUGUUUGCUAGUGUACUCUCAUUAAGCAAUGAGGGUAUAAAGAGCAAGCAGAAGAGUGCGGCCUGGCAGUUGAGAGCUAAGGCUCUGAAAUGAGACAGAGGUGCAUUAAAAUUGCAGCUCCGCCACAUUCUAGCUCUGUGUCCCCAAGCAAGUGAUUUCACUUGUCUGAGCCUCUAACUCCUCACUUGUAAAAAGGAGAUAAGAAGUUAACGUGAAAAUGUAAUGAGGUAUUACAGGUAAAGUGCUUAGCACAGUCCCUUGCACAUUAUAAAGCCUCA
rnacentral:lncRNA from 1 species